AAUAUUGACAAUGUGAUGUAAAGAGAUGAAUAAGAUACAUAGAGACUGAAAAGCGAUCUCUUUGAACGACACACGCCAGGGCAACAGUGUCCUUCAUUUACUCUGUGUUCGUGUGUGAUGUUACAGAGGAGUGAGUGUUAGGGCAAUUAAUUUCAUCGCAAGGUAAAUCCAGUCAUCAGAUCUUCCCAACUCUCUUCCACACACGUUAUUAGUCUGCAUGUGUCUGCCAUCCCAGAGGAUCCAUGCGUUCAGCUGUUAAAAAUGACCUUGCAAGAUCACUAAACCACUAACUUUCCCAUUCCCUCGCUCUCUCUCUCUCAUUCUACCGUGGCUUCAAAACGGUGCCUCAACCAAAGAGAGGCUUUUUAAAGAGAAUUUUACUUUUCCGAAAAAAUACUACCAAGGAUAAAGAGAAAAAAUGCGUCCCCGCCCACAUCCAAAACCUCUCGCACUUCACGCUGUUCCAGAUUUUUGGAGGUUGUUGGAGUUUUUCUCUCUCUCUCACGCACACAGACUUAGACUCUAAUCUUUGUCGUAUGCGUGGGAGAAGAGAAACUCGCUGGAUGCUGGAUGAGGUCUCCAUGUGUAAACAACAAAGCGACUGUCAUUUAAUCAGGGGUCUUUUAAAGAAUGCGUCAGCGACGCCGAAGUGGGACUCUGCGCUUUUUCCUUUUCAAGGACAAUUGUUCUUUUCGCCCUCCGUUGGCAUACGACUUCACAUUCACGUAAACAACCCGUCAGCAGCCGCACCUCAGCUAGUUGUCUUUUGACGUGUACCUCACCUAAGACAGACCCUCGUGUGGGAUCACGCCGAUAAAUACAUCAGUUCCAGCGUGUGCCGGUGCAGAAGCGAUAUCAAACAGAUUUCUCUACUGGGAGAGAGGGAGCGUUAAUGUCGACGAGGCCGCGCCGCUUCCUCCACGGCACCGACAAGCCAUUAGUCUCUUCUGACAAGCCCGCAACCUGCCACACACUGCAAACGCUUUUGAUAUGUUUGGUGCUGCGCUUGCCAAGCCGAGAUUCUAUGAAAGAUGAUGCUGAGACACGGAGGGAAUGAAAAGAGACUGAAGUAUGGAUAUUAUCCAGUUCACUUCACCAGUCAUGCUAAAGACCUUCAAAAGCAUCUUUCUAGAGUACAUUGCAUAGGAUACAUGUUACAGACACAGACAGGUGUGAAAAGUGAGGGAGGAAGCACGGAGAUGUGGCCAGACGUUUAUGCUAAUAGACUCGAUAUUCAUCAAGUCUCCAUGGCCAAAGCAGAGCGUGUGAUAAAGAGGAGGGUGGAACGUGAAGAAGAGUCAUUCAUGGUCCUGAUGGAGACACACGGACUCCCCUGUCACCUACAACACAGCAGAUGUCUGCAUUCAACACCAGAGCGGUAGACUACAGCCCACUUGUCUCAACUAGGUUAACAAUACAGCUAAUUUGACCAAAAAACCCCACUUCCACAAGAAAAGACUAGUUAAGUGACCAAACACAAUUUGUUUUUAUAUUAGUUGUGCAUCACACUGCUAAUCUUAAGGCAAAAAAGUGAAAAAUAUUAAUCAUAGUGCUUACAUGACAUCAUUAUAGAAAAACAGAAAAACGUAUAAUCUCCACGCAUACGGCCUUUCCCAAGCAAAAGUGUCUUAGAAAUUGUAAAUCAAUAUAUUGUUUUAUGUGAAUGAGCAGGCCGAAUGAUCAUUUUGAAGAAAAAACUCUAGACUACUAGAUCCUGUUUUGAAGUCUUGGGAAAACAUGUUUAGAAUGAGUUUUGUGGACUUAUAUCAGUGACUUUAAAGUUUUGCUUUUUUAAAAAACAUGCAUAAACAUUUUUCUCUCAAAAAUACAAACAUGUACAUACAUGUUAAUCAUAUAAUAUAGUAGCCCAGUUUGUGCUGAACGCAGUGUUAUGAGACUUUUGCCAUUUAUAUGUUUUUAAGCAACUGAAAAAAGCACAAAUGUCAGUGCAUGACAAAACUUCCCCAGGGCCCUAAAAACCCCUUAGACCCCAGAGGGUUAAAACAUGUAUUUUGAAGUCUAUUAUAGUCUAUGGGGUGGUUUCUGGGGCAGGGAUUAGCUUAAACCAGGACUAGGGCUUAGUUUAAUUAGGAAAUAUAACUAGUUUAAACAAACAUUCCUUACUAAAAACAUUACUUGUGUGCAAAACAAA